CACGUAGGGGGCGAGCGUUGUCCGGAUUUAUUGGGCGUAAAGAGCUCGUAGGCGGCUCAGUAAGUCAGGUGUGAAAACUCCAGGCUCAACCUGGAGACGCCACUUGAUACUGCUGUGGCUAGAGUCCGGUAGGGGAGCAUGGAAUUCCUGGUGUAGCGGUGAAAUGCGCAGAUAUCAGGAGGAAUACCGGUGGCGAAAGCGACUCUCUGGACGGCAACUGGACGCUGAGGCACGGAAAGCGUGGGGAGCAAACAGG
rnacentral:rRNA from 1 species